rnacentral:rRNA from 1 species
GAUGAACGCUGGCGGCGUGCUUAACACAUGCAAGUCGAACGGAAAGGCUCCUGCUUGCAGGGGUACUCGAGUGGCGAACGGGUGAGUAACACGUGGGUGAUCUGCCCUGCACUUCGGGAUAAGCCUGGGAAACUGGGUCUAAUACCGGAUAGGACCACAUUUUGGAUGGUGUGGUGGAAAGUUUUUCGGUGUGGGAUGAGCUCGCGGCCUAUCAGCUUGUUGGUGGGGUAAUGGCCUACCAAGGCGUCGACGGGUAGCCGGCCUGAGAGGGUGUACGGCCUCAUUGGGACUGAGAUACGGCCCAGACUCCUACGGGAGGCAGCAGGGGGGAAUAUUGCACAAUGGGCGCAAGCCUGAUGCAGCGACGCCGCGUGGGGGAUGACGGCCUUCGGGUUGUAAACUCCUUUCGCUAGGGACGAAGCGUUUUUGUGACGGUACCUGGAGAAGAAGCACCGGCUAACUACGUG